AUAAUUAAUUGGACGAUAUAAUAUUUAUUUUUUUAUUAGUGGAUCAAUCAUCAACGAUGAGGAGGUUGAUACUGGCCGCGUUCGUCCUCUCUUCCCUACCGACAGGUUGUAAAUGGUGGUCUAUUGCCGAUACCCCUCAACUCUGGACCUCAAAGCCAGUUCCACUGCGGUUUGUCAGGCUCUCCAAAACUCUCCCUGGGGAGAAACCGUCCCGUAAGUUUUCACUCUAACCUUAAUCUAGCACACCUGAUUCUAAUAAUUAGCUGCUUGAUAAACUGAACCAGGUUAGUUACACCUGGAUUUAGAGUGAAAACGUACAGGAGGGUAGCUCUCCAGGAACAGGGUUGGAGAASGCUGUCGUACGGUAAGAGUUGAAUACACCUGGCCUAUACUGUAGAGGUAUUUUUCCAAUCAAAAURGAAGUUGAGUCUAUUUGAAUCAAACUGUUUCCUGUGGCAGCUGUCUCUUGCUUUCAGUCACUAGUUUUUCCAGUUGAACCACCUUCAGCAGGGCUCUGUCAACACACGUACACAUACUCUACCCCAUUCUUUUAUUCUCUCUAUCUCAUUCAAUAUGCUUUAACCCAAUGAUUCCCACCGGAACGCCAGCGCAUUUUGGUACCAACGAUUCCUCUGUGAUUUAACGGGGGCUGAGCUAGAGCAGUGUUUGAGACUAGGGCAGUCCGAAUGGAUUGAGCUACAAACUAUUUAAAGCGAUCUCUGAAAAGCUGAGGCUCUCAGGAACACGCACGUGUGACAUGUUUAGGUCUAUGACCUCACAAGCUACAGAAGAGUCGCUAGAAGGUAAGGUUCUUCUACAUAGAUCAUAGGACAUAGUGUCUAUAAUACUGUAAGGGUUUCUUCUACAUAGAUCAUAGGAAAUCCCAGGGACCUAGUGUCUAUAAUAUUGUAAUAAGCUCACAUAGUUGCUGUCACAAACUCCCCCCAGUUGUCACUGAUAGUUGGAUAUUCCCAGUGAGCAAACCAUUUCUGUACUUGUUUUUGCUUUGGUGGACCUACGUUUUGUAUUGGCAUUUGUCAAUUAAACUCAUGAAUACAACUGUUUAUGUCAAAUAGUUUUGUGUUUUACUUGUAGCCCUGUGUGUGUCCUGAAAAUACAAUGUUAAAACACUUCAUUGUGAGAAUAAAUAUAGCGCUGGACGUGCAGAAAGUCAGAUCAAUGAGAAGCUGAUUUUUGCUGUGGCCUCGGGACUGAUGGAGUUAACGCACAACUCGAGCAAAAGAACAAGUACAUUGAAUGUCUAGUUGUAGAAACCGACGCCUCACAAAGCAGCUUCAUUAAAAGUACUCACAAAACACCAGUCUCACACAGUGAAGAGGCGACUCCGGGAUGCUGGCCUUCUAGGCAGAGUUCCUCUGUCCAGUGUCUGUGUUCUUUUGCCCAUCUUAAUUUUUAUUUUUAUUGGCCAGUCUGAGAUAUGGCUUUUUCUUUGCAACUCUGUCUAGAAGGCCAGCCUCCCGGAGUGUCUCUUCACUGUUGACGUUGAGGACUGGUGUUUUGCGGGUAAUAUUUAAUGAAAG
rnacentral:lncRNA from 1 species